rnacentral:rRNA from 1 species
ACGAGUGGCGGACGGGUGAGUAAUGUCCGGGAAACUGCCCGAUGGAGGGGGAUAACUACUGGAAACGGUAGCUAAUACCGCAUAACGUCGCAAGACCAAAGAGGGGGACCUUCGGGCCUCUUGCCAUCGGAUGUGCCCAGAUGGGAUUAGCUAGUAGGUGGGGUAAAGGCUCACCUAGGCGACGAUCCCUAGCUGGUCUGAGAGGAUGACCAGCCACACUGGAACUGAGACACGGUCCAG